AGAGCGAACGCUGGCGGCAGGCUUAACACAUGCAAGUCGAGCGGAUGUAGCAAUACAUCAGCGGCAGACGGGAGAGGAACACGUGGGAACGCGCCCUUUGGUUCGGAAUAACUCAGGGAAACUUGAGCUAAUACCGGAUAAGCCCUUACGGGGAAAGAUUUAUCGCCAAAGGAACGGCCCGCGUCCGAUUAGCUAGUUGGUGAGGUAAUGGCUCACCAAGGCGACGAUCGGUAGCUGGUCUGAGAGGAUGACCAGCCUCACUGGGACUGAGACACGGCCCAGACUCCUACGGGAGGCAGCAGUGGGGAAUAUUGGACAAUGGGCGCAAGCCUGAUCCAGCCAUGCCGCGUGAGUGAUGAAGGCCUUAGGGUUGUAAAGCUCUUUUAGCAGGGAAGAUAAUGACGGUACCUGCAGAAAAGCCCGGCUAACUUCGUGCCAGCAGCCGC
rnacentral:rRNA from 1 species